rnacentral:rRNA from 1 species
UACGUAGGGGGCGAGCGUUGUCCGGAUUUAUUGGGCGUAAAGAGCUCGUAGGCGGUUUGUCGCGUCUGCUGUGAAAUCUGGGGGCUCAACCCCCAGCCUGCAGUGGGUACGGGCAGACUAGAGUGCGGUAGGGGAGAUUGGAAUUCCUGGUGUAGCGGUGGAAUGCGCAGAUAUCAGGAGGAACACCGAUGGCGAAGGCAGAUCUCUGGGCCGUAACUGACGCUGAGGCACGAAAAGCGUGGGUAGCAAACAGG